CUUCAAGAUUUACUUUCACCAGCGUGCAGAUGCUUUUGGCCGGCUCUUUUGCAUUUUGACCCUUUUGUCCAAGGCCUCAACAUGAAAUCCAUGUUAGCUGCAAUGAAUUGUCCUCCUGUUUGUCGCGCGCGCCGUCUCUGGAUUCCAAGUGUUGGCAUCCCAGAAAGACGUAGAUAAAAUGGGAGAGCUCAAGCUAAUAGUAUUCCUUGCCCGAAGAUAUCAAGUUUGGAAAGCAGUAACACAGAAGAAUAGAGCCUGUGGUAAAACCUCUGUCAGUUACAGCCCUUAGGCAGCCAUUCAUAAAAAAAAUGUUAAUAUUGGUGAAGGUGUGGUAGUCCUGGACCAUUGCAUUAGGAGGGUCUAAAAUUCUUCAAGUCUUAGUCUCAGAUUUUCAAUCAAGGGUCUCUGCAUCUAAAGAUGACUGUUUGAGGGUACAUGCACUUCCAUGACUUCUUCUCGAGUACAUACUUCCUCCAUAUUUGAGGACCUUCCAAUCAGCAUUUCAGCUCCUUUGACAGUAAGGCAGUUGGACGUUCGCUGUUGGGAAAGUUGUCAUGACAUGGUCUUCUCUAGCUGUUGCUGAUGUUGAAAUGCAACUGGAACAUCCUGUCAGUUCAUUUGUCAGAAAAACAAAGCUGCCUAAGGUGGAGAAAUAUUUUAGAAAACAUUUAAAAGGAUGAUGAUAACCAACUGUUAUCUCCACGUUGAUCAGUACUCUUGGACUGAGGAAUGAUGACACCAGGACACCAGCCAGGGAAACCUACCCUCAUUUCCAGGUACACUCUGGUAGUAACAGCAGCUGGACACCAGUGAGGACAGUUGAUAUUAUGACUGUGUUUUCUCAAACCUGUUGUUGGAACAUCCUUUUUAUUCACCUACGGACAAAGCUAUACUCAAGAUGGAGAAUCUUGUCUUGCUUCGAUGAGGCUGAAUAACUGAGCAGAGUCGGGCUGAUCUGGGUUGAAGUUUGACAAAUGUUCACUGCAGUGGAUUCUUGGUUUAGAGAAUUGAUGCUGAAGAAAUGGAGGAAAAUGAAUGAAAAUGAAAAAUUUCAGAAGGAAUAAUGUUACUGAAAAGUGAAGUAGACUUCAGAAAGAUGACUGUUCAAGGUUCAAUGCAGCUAUUAAUGGAGCUCUACAAUAGACCACCUCUCAAUGUUUCUCUUCCCCUUGGUUGGAUUCAACCUCCACACUUAAGGACGCCCAAGUUGGCAUUCCAGCUACGUUGACAGUAAGACGGCUGAACUCUUACAAGAAAAGCUGGUAUCCUGGGAUGUUCUCAAACUGUCACUGCAGUUGAAAUAUGACUGGAAUAUGCUGCCAGUUCACUGUAACACAUAACUGCUCAAGACAGAAUUAUUUUUAAUAUUUAGCAACUUUUAGAAAGGUUAAUUAAGAAUAAAUGUAAAUCUUAUUUUAAUCCUCCUUUCUGUAAUAUUUGUCAUUGUCAUCUAUAUGCUCUGAGAAUGUUGUGGUACAUCGUGAUAAUAUCUCAUCCAUGUUUGUAUUUAUUUCUAUACUGAUGCAACUUAUUGAGAAUUGGUUGAUCAAUCUUGUUCUUUCUCCAUAGUAACUGCAGUACUACACGCUAGUUGUAAAUUUUGAAAAUUUGGUGGUACUGUAUGUGAAGACAAUAUCUUCCACAAUCAUGUUUUUCCCUCUGAUAACUAAGACUUUUGCCUCAAUAUAUAUAUCAGGACUUAACUAUGGGUAAUGAAUACUGAAACAGUAUCAGAAAUCACAAUCAGUUUUGGCACUGAAAUUUCACACCUCUUGUUGGAUGACUGCUGUUAUAAAGGGGUGUAGCAGCUACAGAGAAACUCAACUCAGCAUUUUCUUUCUCUCAGGUGGAUGCUGUCAUCUCUUACUAAUACAAGAAGCUGUCCUCAUUUUCAGGUCCACUGGUGGCAAUUUAAAUAACAGUUGGACACCAACAAGGAAGGCUGACUUAUGUUCCUGAAGCUUAAACAUGAUUCAUCCUGCUGAUCCACUCAAAGCUGCUCAAGAGAGAGGAAUAUUUUUUGGAAGCUAAGUAGAUGUUGUUGUCAAUUAGGAGGACCCUUCCUGGUUUCUAACAGCACAUUUGUGUCAUGGAGUCUUCAGCAACCUUAAACUAACCUUCAUCUCCACAUAAGUAGACUUGGACUAACUGAGCACCAGCAAGGUACUUAAAGCUUUCUCUUGUCACUGGAACUUCGUUCCGAUGAACAGAGCUUCCAGAGCUCCUCAUGAUGUAAGUUAGUAGUUACUGGUAAGUGUAAGCCUGAGUUAAAUCUUCAAUCUUCCUUAGUUUCUGUUAUAUUUGCUAGUCAAGACUAAUACAAGUUCUAAAAAUUUUGUGGUACACCAAGACAAUCAAAUUUCUUUUGAAUUAUGCUUUAGAAUCCUCCUCCUCUGGAGCUAGCCUGUUGUUAGAAGCAGUGAGAAUGUGGUGUUUAGCUUAAAUGUAUUUGUCAUAGAGGUAGAAUCCUUUCCCUCUCCAGACUGAUUCCUUAAAUGUAGGCUGCACAAAUUUGUUGGUACUGACCAAAACAAUAUUACCUACAGCCUUUUGAUUUCAUACUGAUUAUCAUCCUAAAAUGGAAGUUUUAUUUAAUGGAAGUUUUAUUGUAGUACCAAAAAAAGUUUCCGAAUUAUGGCAAAGUGAAUGUAUCAAAACUUCCUACCUUGUUUAGAAAUACAGCAAAUUAGCAAGCACUUCUAAAUUUUACGUUUUUCUCAGAUGGAUGCUGUUAUCUGUUACAAUAACCUACCCUUGUUUCCAAGUACAGUGUGAUAACAACAAUGGCUUGACAGCAUUGAAUAGUGUUUCUCAAACUGUGGCUGGAACAUCCUGCUGAGUCACUUGAAGACAAAGCUGCUCAAGAUUGAGAAUCUUGUCUUGCUUCGAUGAGGCUGAAUAACUGAGCAGAGUCGGGCUGAUCUGGGUUGAAGUUUGACAAAUGUUCACUGCAGUGGAUUCUUGGUUUAGAGAAUUGAUGCUGAAGAAAUGGAGGAAAAUGAAUGAAAAUGAAAAAUUUCAGAAGGAAUAAUGUUACUGAAAAGUGAAGUAGACUUCAGAAAGAUGACUGUUCAAGGUUCAAUGCAGCUAUUAAUGGAGCUCUACAAUAGACCACCUCUCAAUGUUUCUCUUCCCCUUGGUUGGAUUCAACCUCCACACUUAAGGACGCCCAAGUUGGCAUUCCAGCUACGUUGACAGUAAGACGGCUGAACUCUUACAAGAAAAGCUGGUAUCCUGGGAUGUUCUCAAACUGUCACUGCAGUUGAAAUAUGACUGGAAUAUGCUGCCAGUUCACUGUAACACAUAACUGCUCAAGACAGAAUUAUUUUUAAUAUUUAGCAACUUUUAGAAAGGUUAAUUAAGAAUAAAUGUAAAUCUUAUUUUAAUCCUCCUUUCUGUAAUAUUUGUCAUUGUCAUCUAUAUGCUCUGAGAAUGUUGUGGUACAUCGUGAUAAUAUCUCAUCCAUGUUUGUAUUUAUUUCUAUACUGAUGCAACUUAUUGAGAAUUGGUUGAUCAAUCUUGUUCUUUCUCCAUAGUAACUGCAGUACUACACGCUAGUUGUAAAUUUUGAAAAUUUGGUGGUACUGUAUGUGAAGACAAUAUCUUCCACAAUCAUGUUUUUCCCUCUGAUAACUAAGACUUUUGCCUCAAUAUAUAUAUCAGGACUUAACUAUGGGUAAUGAAUACUGAAACAGUAUCAGAAAUCACAAUCAGUUUUGGCACUGAAAUUUCACACCUCUUGUUGGAUGACUGCUGUUAUAAAGGGGUGUAGCAGCUACAGAGAAACUCAACUCAGCAUUUUCUUUCUCUCAGGUGGAUGCUGUCAUCUCUUACUAAUACAAGAAGCUGUCCUCAUUUUCAGGUCCACUGGUGGCAAUUUAAAUAACAGUUGGACACCAACAAGGAAGGCUGACUUAUGUUCCUGAAGCUUAAACAUGAUUCAUCCUGCUGAUCCACUCAAAGCUGCUCAAGAGAGAGGAAUAUUUUUUGGAAGCUAAGUAAGUAGAUGUUGUUGUCAAUUAGGAGGACCCUUCCUGGUUUCUAACAGCACAUUUGUGUCAUGGAGUCUUCAGCAACCUUAAACUAACCUUCAUCUCCACAUAAGUAGACUUGGACUAACUGAGCACCAGCAAGGUACUUAAAGCUUUCUCUUGUCACUGGAACUUCGUUCCGAUGAACAGAGCUUCCAGAGCUCCUCAUGAUGUAAGUUAGUAGUUACUGGUAAGUGUAAGCCUGAGUUAAAUCUUCAAUCUUCCUUAGUUUCUGUUAUAUUUGCUAGUCAAGACUAAUACAAGUUCUAAAAAUUUUGUGGUACACCAAGACAAUCAAAUUUCUUUUGAAUUAUGCUUUAGAAUCCUCCUCCUCUGGAGCUAGCCUGUUGUUAGAAGCAGUGAGAAUGUGGUGUUUAGCUUAAAUGUAUUUGUCAUAGAGGUAGAAUCCUUUCCCUCUCCAGACUGAUUCCUUAAAUGUAGGCUGCACAAAUUUGUUGGUACUGACCAAAACAAUAUUACCUACAGCCUUUUGAUUUCAUACUGAUUAUCAUCCUAAAAUGGAAGUUUUAUUUAAUGGAAGUUUUAUUGUAGUACCAAAAAAAGUUUCCGAAUUAUGGCAAAGUGAAUGUAUCAAAACUUCCUACCUUGUUUAGAAAUACAGCAAAUUAGCAAGCACUUCUAAAUUUUACGUUUUUCUCAGAUGGAUGCUGUUAUCUGUUACAAUAACCUACCCUUGUUUCCAAGUACAGUGUGAUAACAACAAUGGCUUGACAGCAUUGAAUAGUGUUUCUCAAACUGUGGCUGGAACAUCCUGCUGAGUCACUUGAAGACAAAGCUGCUCAAGAUUGAGAGUCUGGUUUUGCUUGGGUGAGGCUGAGCAUACUGUUUGAAGUUGGGCUGAUCUGGCCUGAACCUGGACAAAUUUCUGCAGCUGUAGUAGAUUCUUGGUGCUUAGGAAAUGAAGUCAGACUGAAACAAAUAGAAAAGAAUGUUAUUUGAGAACAAAAUAACCUUCUGAUAAGGCUAUCAUGAUCAAGGAAGUUUAGUAAGCGAGGAGUGUAAGUAAUCAGGGCACAUAGAAAUUACUGCCAUCUUAACUGCAUAGCUUUUCAAACUUUAGACGUGCACUGUUAUCAACUGCUUAUUUCAAACAAGUUUGAUGGCAAAUUUUAUCAAUGGAUAUUAUUGGUGAUGUGAAAGUUGUGAUCAGCCGAGUGCCAUAUUAAAGCUUUAAAAAUCUAA